AACUCGGGCUGGGCAGCAUGGCGGCGGCAGGUUUUCCGAGGCUCGCGGUGCGGGCGGAGGGCGGCUCCCGCGUUCAACAGGCUGUGCAAGGAAGCGGACUGGUUUUGUACACGCCGAACUUGUUGCCUGCCAGUAAUUGGAUCGGAGGAUGCACCCCUGGCCCUUGCAGGGCGCCGCAGCCCAGCGGUUUCCCAGUUUAGCCCGGUGGCGGCUGAACCGCAGUUUCCAUUCGGUCAGCCCCGUGUUUUUGCGCCAAGCGACACACCAUCCGGGAGAGGCCCAGGAUGCUCGUGGGAUCCAGCGUUUCGGCAUCUUGAAAAAAGAAAACAUCGAGCACAUCAGCCAGUGAAACUCACUGCGUCCGUUGAAGUCUACGGAAUGCUUGCAUUGGUGUCUACACUUCCCGCUUUCCAGUUUGCAUGAAAGAGGCAGGUGCAUUCUGGAACCGUGACCCCGAUCCUGAUAAAGAACACUUCCGGGCUGCCAAGAGGCCUCAGCUUCCUCCCACCAGUCGUUAACUCCCACCUCAAGCUAUUAAGCACCGGGAAUGAUUCUUUGAACAAAAGAAGGCAUAGGUCCACAUACAGCUGGUGGUUCCACGGAGUUCCCUGGGAACUGAGGCCUCAUACCGCAAGGGUGGUCAUGGAAAGUCAAGGCCCAGAAUGCGGCUAGGCCCGGGCGCCCCCUCCCCUGCUGUGUGCACCCCGGAGACGCCAACCUUGCAGCUGACAAGAAUAUCCCAGGAUCGCGGUUCUUAAGAGCAUUUUUACGCCUGAUUAGUGACGGGUCCUGAGAGGAUUUGACAUGACAUGCCGUCAGGAAGACAAAAGCCGCUGCCGUAGGGAUGUGUUACAGGCUCGCUGAGGCAAUUUGGAAGAAUAAGGACUGUCAAAAGCAAUCAGACCCACAGCAGAGUCUCUAUUAACUCUGGGGGAAGACACUUGGCAGAGCUGAGCGCAGUGGCUGCCCUGACGGGUGACAGCAGCGGGGACCCGGCCGGCACAGGCUAACCUUUCAGAUCACGAUGUGGACCAGAAGACUCUGCCCACCUGCAGAGAUCCCGAGAUCCCCUUUUCCCUCCAAGUAGCGGCCGGUCAUGCAAAACCCAGGGCCCGGUUGGCUCACCAACUUUUAAGGGAAUGGUCAAGUCUGAGGGAAGAGCAGGCCAAAAAAGACUUUGCGAAACUGCCACUUGCUCCAUCAGUCUGCGUAGAGAGAGUUCUCCUCUCGAACAUGUUUUUGUUUCCUGGGGCGGAACAUUGCCACGUGCCCAAACCGUCGUUACCCAGCCGCACCUUGAGCACUGUGCUCUCGGACCGACGUGAGAUGAUCGAUGGUGGAGGUUAAGAGGGCGGCCGUCUGGAAGACGGCCCAAGUUUAGGAACAGACGGCGGCGGAGCUGGGGUUGCAACCUGGUCAGAUGCCCUUGAAUGUGAGGAAUGUGGCAGCAGUGGCACCCGGUGUUUGGGAUCAACAGAAGGUAAGGUGUUGGGUUCCCCGCGUCCUCUGCUCUAUCUCCACUACUCACGGAGCCUCACCAGCCGGGAGGGGGGUCACGUGUGCGUGAGCUUAUGGAUAAGCAGAACCAGCAUGACAUUAGAUUUAUGCAGCCAUACAGCCACCGUAGGGAAUAAUAAUAACAUCAUUUUGAAGAGCAUUACAUUUUUAAAGUCGAUAAAAGAAUUCCUUUGAAAACAUAAAAUUGUAUUUCUCACUUGCUAAUACAAUUCCAACACACAAUUUGCUUCAUCAGAAGCAUAGGCUAAAUUACACCAAGGGGUUUCUACUUGCAGUCAUUCACAUAUUAUUUAUAAUUUACUCUACAUAAGGCUCUUUCAUGUACAAUUUGAAUGCUUCAUUUUUAGCUAAAGAACAUCAAACCAUUUACUAUUGCUAUUUCACAUUUACCCCCUUUUCCAAAAUCGGACGACAUAUUUUUCUUGGGGCGCAGUGUUUCGCCUAGGAAUAAAAGGUUUAGCUAGCGACGGUAAAGCAGAGAACAGAUUAAUAAACUGUUUGGAAGGGUCGAGAAAACCCACGUCCUCCAUGAGGUUUCCAUGAGCUCUUGAGGCUCUCCGUGAGCGCUCCACGAAGAGAGCUGCGGACGCUGGCUUCCCUUCGGUUUAUGACCAGAUGAUGGACCGCACACCUCCCGUAUCAGCAGGCCCGGCUCACGCACCCCUUCCAGGGGAGACACAGGCGGGGAGCAACUCCCCCCAGCAGGCCCCAGCCAGACUGGGUCUCCCCAUGUGAAAAAGCCCAAACGUUGACCGUAUUGAAAUAGUUUUGUUUUUAAGUGUGGGAUGCACAUUGAAAACAUUGGGGGGUGAACCAAGGCACUAAUACGUGGCGUCCAGUCUGCUGAUACACUUUGUGGGUCAGCGGUAAGGGAAGAGUCACAGCUUGAAAUGCUUUCCGCGUCUUCCCACACUCGAGUGUGUCUCAUCUGAUAACGAAAAUUCGUGCUGACAAGCAGCGUAAUAUUUUAACAAAACAAUACUUUUAGACCUAUAUUCUACCGCCCCCUCCUUUUUUGUGAAGUUUUAAACGAAUGCUAAAGACUCCGGGCUUCUUGAACUUCGAGCAUUUUCUUCUCCGGUUCUCAUAUCAAGUUAAAUAAAAUGAGAGCAGCCAGGGGCACCUGGGUGGCUCAGUCGGUUGACAAUGUCCAACUCUGGAUUUCAGCUCCGGUCUCGAUCUCGGGGUGGCGAGUUCAGGCCCCACGCCAGGCGUGGAGCCUACUUUAAAAAAAAAAAUUAAAGGAGCUCACUAUUUAAAACAAGAUCAUUCUCUUCAUUAAAAAAACUGUACAUUUUUAACUUUUAUUUUGGAUGUAUGAAGCGUUUAGUGAAACGUCUUUAAACAUUCCAUAAAAACCUCUUAAUCAAAGGAUGAAAGCUCUUUUUUUAUUAUACCUUUAGCUUUUUCAAGGUGCAUUCACGGUCGUAAACUUCAUAGGUGGACCAUCACUGUGGAAAUGAGAGAAAAACAGGAUUGUAGGACAAAGAGAAGGAGCUUUCUUGUAAAGAGAGGAGAAAUUCAUGCACAGUCUUGCCCCUGAUAAAUCAACAUAUGAUCAUCUGAAAGGCAAUUACAUCAUAUUGGGAGCUUCUCUACAGCCCCAGCCAAAAUACCAGAGCUGCUUCGAAGGCAGCAGUGUUUAUGUAGUAAACAUGCAAUUGAAAGUAAAACUCAUCUGUAGUCAAAGGAACUUUUUAUUAAGAAAGAAAAGAAUCACUCAAAAAUAACGUCCCGUUCUAAACCAGUAGGAUGUCACUGGGGUUCUAAGGAGGCUUUGUAGGGUAAUGUAUAAUGCAACAUGGACAGUUUCUCAAAUGCAACAGGACAGGAGCUAAUUAUGUAAUUAGUCUUUGUUCAUUAUACAUGUGUGAUAUAAUCAGAUUUAGGGAUAAUAUGAAACUAUGAAACCUCAGGUCUUGUCACGUUAAAUUGAUGAGAAAAAUUAUUGCUUAAAGAGACCUUAUGACAUAUUAAUAAAUGGGUAUAGUCUGUAAGGAAUAUUAACAAAACCUGUCUGAACGAGAUUAUAAAUCUCCAGUGAGUUUUUAAAUUACUCAUGCCUCCAGGACACAGAAACACCAACUACUGGAUUGUAGCCAUGUCAGAUUUGCAGCUACAAGGCUUUAAAAAAAAAUAGCAAGAUAAAAGGCAAUGCUUAAUUAAAUGUGUCCACAGAUAAAUCCCAGGUUAGGUUAAUUUUGUGCCUGUGCAACGAAAGUGCGCCUGCGGGCAUUGCAAAAUGGCACGGGCUCGAUCUCAAACCGUAAGGAAGGCCCUCCAAGAGCAAACUCGAAGCACAAAUACAUCCAGUAUUUAUUUAAUAUCUUACUAGACAUACUUCUUGCAGGAAGAACAAACUUACGUGGAUGAUUUACAGUUUCAGUUAGAAACUGUUUUCUCAGGCACUUUGUUGAUUUCUGCAAACGCCAAUCACGGGGGACGUAUUUACAGCAAAUAGUAGAGAUUUGGUUUAUUUCCACAUGCUUUAGAUUUCUUAAUUCGGUUUGUCUUUACAAAUGGUGAAGCUCAAGCCUGCCCGGAUGAAGUCCCUUGGACCAAGUCAUGAAUCUGGUGAAUUCUUCCUGUACCGUGGGUUUGAACCCAGGCGGGAAACUGGCUGUAACUCAGUUUUACAAGUGCAAGCAUACGGAUAUUUACGGCCUCUAAUGGUCUCUAAGAAAAGUAGCUCCGUUGAAUAAAAAGCCGUUUGGGUAAACAUAAGCAUAGCAAUGAGAACUUCAGCAAAUCAUCAAAGAACGUGAGAGGUGACUUAGCACCUACUUAUUUUAAAUACCCACCCUUAUCAUUUUCCUUGGCCCUGCUGAGAAGUAGAAGUCUACAUUCAUGAAUGAGAUCUGUGAGAAAGCACACAGUUCUCGGCUUCUGUCACGUGAGGGUGACAUCAAGAGGAAGUGUGAUUGGCCACUAUGUAGAAGAGGAACGUUCACUGCUGUGUGAAGUGGUAUUUCCAGAAACUUCUACCAAUGCCUAAGAAUUCAUUCUUCUUAGGGAAGGUGAUGCCGCUUUACCUUUCACGGUUCUGGCUUGGGUAUUCCAAGUGACCUUGGAUGACGUUUCGUGGGCGUGGUUGGUGAGGAACAGUGGCACUGAUCUAGCUCCUGUCUCCUAGUAAAGAGCUGUGAACUCCCCUGGGCGGAAGCUGGGCUGUACCACCCGGCCUUCCGCAGAACGCUCACAGCAUUCAAUCCACCCUGCAGACCAGACUGCUGACUGCUGAUUUAGAAAACCUUCUUGAAAGCCUCAUGACCUAUAGCUUGGAGAUAGAAUUGGCAACUCACAUUUCCUUUCAGAUGGAUUUGUUGACUGUCCCAAGGAAGAUACUAGCAAGAUUCCUCUCAUUCGUUCAUUCCUUCAUUCACUCUAAAUUUGCACUAUGUGGAGAAAGCUUUCAUACACUUCUUCCAAAAUGUGCAGCCAGUUAGAGGCAUUCCAGGGUAAUUGUUUGUCUUAGAAUCGGUGGGCAGGGCUCCGAAUCUCCAUCCAGAGCUCCUAUGUCCAUUUUAACCCAUGUUUUAUAUCAUGGCACGGCUGGAAGAAGCAAGGACAGGACCCCUUCGCUUAAAUAAAAGUUUUUGCUUUUAUGUUUUAAACAAUGACCCAGAUUUUUCCAACCUUAAAUCCAAGUUUAAGCGUGGCGCUACCCAAUUGGUAUCAUUAAGCACACAGCUGCCAAUACUAUUAAAAGUGCUGGCAUACAUUUUUUUUUGCACAGAAGUAUAUUUCUUUGAAUAUUAUUUACAGUUAAUCGCUUUGUUAUUUUUCUUCCAUACCUAUUAUGCUAUAUUUUGUCAUAUCUAAUCAGUGCUAUUAUAUGUGCAUCUUAAUUGACGAUAUAAUAGUCAAAAUUGUAGCAAUUCAAAGUUUUUAAGGUCACUAGUUAGUUUUAUUAUUUAAAGAAAUUGCUAAUAUUUUUGUCCCGGAUAUGUCAGGGGCAAGAAUUGGUGAAGGAGCAGAGGACUGUGGUAUAGGGCUGAGGGUGGUUGAAUAGAGCAACGGGAAAGAACUAGUUCAUGCUUCAGAAACGUGGCUAGCACUACUCAGGUUCAACGCGGGUAGAAGUUACCUCCUUGGUUCAAUAAAUAUUUGGAAUAUUGUCCAUCAUGUUAUUUUGAACUUCUCACUCCAUUUAACUCCACCCUCCUCCAUCACAUGUAGCUUCCUCACUUUGAGUAGUUUUUCAUGGACCAGCUGUGGAACAUCAUCAAGAUCCCACGGCCAAGAGUGAGGAAGAAGGAAUAAAUUAUCUAGAUGCCCUAUAUGACUAGGAAAAAACAAAUUCAGUUAUUUAGACCUUAGUCACUCCCUUAUAAACAUAUUCUCUUAAAUACGUCCACUACCUAUAUCAAUGUUCUGUUCUUCAUGAAGAAAUCUACAUAUUUUUCUAAAUAUUCCUUUGGCUAACCCAGUUUUGACACUUGCUUUCCCUUGUGCUGAGAAGUUGCAGGAGAACAUGUCCCUACACUCUGACACUGGGAUUCUCUGCACCUAAGCUGUUAGAAGAGUGAGGACCCUGCCUACCUGAUGGAGACUGAAUUUCUUUGGUCCAAGAAAUUAAUUGACCACAAAUCACUGCCUACAGUAGUUUACAACCAAAGCAAGUAAAUGUGUACUUACUUGUGCACCUGUUUAGUGUCUAUCUUUCCUCAUAGAAGAUAAAGCCCAAGAUAGCAGAGCCUUUGUUACUUCAUUCACUAACAUGUAGGACAGAAUGGAGCAUAGGUCCUGGCAUGUAGUAACUGCUAAUAAACAUUUGUAGGAAUAACCACUGGAUGGCUAGAGGCACACGUGGAGAGAUAGAUGGGUGGGUAGAUGAGUAGAUGGACAGAUGGAUGGAUGGAUGGGUGGAUGGGAGGGCAGGUGGAUGAUGGCAUUCCCUGCAUCACUUUCUUGGAACUUUGGUUUGAGGAAUUACAUUGACUGUCUUUGAAGACUAUUUUGAUGAGAGAGCCGCUUCGUAGACAAAACUAGAUGUGAUCCUUCUAAAACUGUACUCUGCUUAAUAUGGGAAGAAUGAUGCACCAAUAUAUUGGUCCUAAAAUGAUCUUACUUUUCAAUAAAACAGCUUUUAUGCGAGUUUUUGCAAUGUAAAAGAGAUUGUCGUUUAAAUAGCACUGCUGAUAGACUUUUGAGCUAAAAUAGCUCAACAUGCUUGUCAUUAUAUCUUCAGGUCAUUUAAAAUUAACAUUCAGCUGGGGAGCCUGAGUGGCUCAGGCAGUUAAGUGUCCAACUUCAGCUCAGGUCGUGCUCUCACAGUUCAUGAGUUUGAGCCCCGCGUGGGGCU